CUCUAUGCUAUUCCACUGCAAAAGGGACCUGGUUUUGACUUCCUAUUGUAAAUCAACCCUGCAGCUGGCAAGAGAUCAAAAUCAGGAUUAACUGAAGUUCUUUGUGUGUGUGCAGAAACAAUGAGCUCUGGUGCAUUCUUUAGAAAAGAGUGUGAUAAAUAUAGCCACAAUUAGCAUAUGAUACUCCCAGGUCAGUAUCCUUAGACAUGUAUUGAAUGAGGGAAGUUUCAGGGCAACUACUUAAAGAUAGAAAGAUAUGAUCAGUAUUCUGACACUAAAAGUCCUCAGAAAGGACUAAAAAAAGGAUACAGGUAUGUCAUCUUCUGAACACUAGCCUGAAUUUUAUGAAGACAAAAAUUACAGUCAAGCUUUCCUUCUUCUGUGUUUAAUCCAGUAAAACAUUAUUGCUCAAAUUGGGAAGGAGUGAAAGGGAGGAUAAGAAAUAACAUUUUCCAACAUAAGACCUGUACAUUUCUGUCAUGUAUGUUUUUCGAAGUCGAAGGACAUCCUUUCAGGAUACUCCUAUAAUGUUUUAUUUUCUGAGGAUAAAGUCCAAGGAAAAAAUAUUGAAAAAUACAGCAUAGUCUACACUAUCUUCCAGCAAGCUUUCUGUGCAAAGUGACUACAUCACUUGACUGUCUCUCGGGAUCCUGAGAAUUAAUUAAUAUUUGACUGGCUCUUUGAAGAAAUGAAGUAUGGACUCCUUCCAUAGUUAAUGCUUUAGGCUCCUUUAGGUACUGAAUGGCAACAAUAAGGCUUCCUCAGAGCCUUUUCUUCUCCAGGCUGCACAAGAUCAACUCUCUCAGCGUGCCCUCAUAGAAGAGGUGAUCCAUUCCUCUGAUCAUUUUUGUGACCCUCCUCUGGAUCCUCUCCGACAGAUCCAUGUCUUUUCCUGUACUGAGGGCUUCAGAGCUGACUGCAGUACUUCAGCUUUGUCCCUGAGUCUAGAACACAGUCUGUGUUCUGGGACUGUUUAGAGCAUGAUGGAGACAAGCACUGUAGCAAGAGGCCCUCCAGCACACAUUUUCUCUCUCUAGGCAAGCACAGCUGUGAACUGGGCUCCCAGAUCCAACUGGAACUGAAAUGCGAAUGGGAGAAAAAGGUACCUUCUGUCAUCAACAUUGGCUUCUCAGUCUCUGGGUUGGUUGCUUCAGGUGCCACUCUUGAUCUCCACAAGAGACUUCCAGUGGAGGAAUUGGGGCUGUAUCUAUACUUCGCAGCAAUUUUAUUUGCUUCUCCGCAGUAUUGGCCACUUGGUAGAACAACUGAAAUGUAUGUGCACUGUGGGAGAAGUAUGUGAGGAAAAUGCACUUGAAGGUAGUCUCAUACCUAUCCUUGCAACAUUUUAUUAGUUUAAAUGUAGGAUCAUUCAAAUUAACCUAUUUGCUUAGAAAAAGGAAAAUACAUUAUUUACAUGGGCAAAGUAAGCAUUAAUCAAUAAUUCAAUCUGUGAACACCUGGUGGAAAUAGAAAUGAUCCUUAAACUUGAAGAUAUAGUGUUGGAGCAAAUAAAGGACUCAGCACUCUGAUUCAAUGUGAAUCACGGAAAGCCAUUUAUUAUAGAAACAAGCCUCCUUAUAUAUGCAGUUAUUUCCCGAUCACGUGUCCAUGCUCCAAGCAUGCAAUAAUUGAUUGGAUAUUAUCUAUGUUCAUGAGAUGUCCACGCGCUGGAGUCUCACUGCUGAUAGGUCUGUUGAUUUACGUCAUGUUGCUGCCUUGUUGUUGCAGAACUGUUUUACUCCCACAGCAGGUCCUGUUUUCAGCUUUCUGAGAUGGCCUUGAAAUUCCUUUGGGCCUGGCUAGUUCAAUAACACAUCUCCAUCUAAUAGAAACCCAUCCACAAUAUAGUCCCUGCUCAACCUCAAAAUUGCAGAGCAAAGGAGUUUUGAGUUUUGAGUAGAACUAAUUCAAGUGUACAAAUAAAUUUGAACAGGUUUGCAUUUACGUUGAUCGCUCCAGAGUUGAGAAAAUCAUAGAAGAUCUAUAAUGCAUGCCCAGGUAAAACUGUACUAGGCAUAUGCAGACUAAGUAUAUGGCACUUUGCAGUAAUUUUCCUUUUUUUAAAAAAUGUGUAUGACAGUGGUGCAACUGAAAUAUUAUUCCAGCUUCGGUCUGUGUCAUUAUUUUCAUGACUUACUUUUGGAAAUGUAUUGUGGGACAUUCAUCACCAUGUUGAUCUCUUAUGAAUCUUCACAUUGUCAUUAUUGAUGUUUUCAAUAAACCCUGUUGGUUGUACAGGACUCGGUACAGCAGACGUCCCAGAGAAAAAGUCAUUUGGCAUUCAGAUCUGAAUACUGAGUGUGGUUUUUAGAUCAGAGUUAAACUAAACUGUACCAAAAUAGCUACUGCUGCCUUCUUGUUGCUUUCAUGCUAAAAAAAGAAAAAAAAAAUCCAUUGUCUGAUAUCUUUUUAUUUCCUGAAAGAAACGAGCUUUAAUCUUGAUUUUUAAUGUAUUUAUCCUAAUCAAACACAGUUGCCUUGACAUUUAGAUAGUAGCAUCUUUGUAAACCAUCUAAGAUCACAACUGAGAAUUCAGUACUGGAAAUCACAGACAUUUUUUUAGUUUAGUGGGGUCCCUUUGAGGAGCCUAAUGAUGCUGGGUUUGGCUAACUUUGAAGAUCUAGUCAGGUGAUUCCAGACAGCCUGUAUGUUCUCACACAUCAACUGACUGAUUAAAAAAACCCCAUCUAAUAAUUGUUUUUAUUUCCUGCAGAGAGCUUUAAUUCUGUUUUGAGAAACAGAAGUUACGAUCAGCCAGAGACAAAUAAUGAAAGCAAAAACUGUGCAAGUGCCACUCUGCCUUUGUAGAUAAAACCUGUAUGAAGAUUCAAGGACUUUGCAUUUGAUGAUGCAUUAAUUUCAGUUUUCCUACUGAAAAAGUAUAAUUUAGUGACACUAGGGAUUCUAAGGCAAAUAAGUCCUUGGAACAAAGAAUUUCAGUAUGUGAAACCUCUUAUGAACUAGGAUUGUCUAGACAAUAAUACAGAAUAUUAUCUACAGUGUCCAAAUUAGGAUUGCUGCUUAGGUGUUGUAGCUGUGUAGUUUUAGUUUAGACUAAACUACUAAACUAGAUAAGAAUCAGAUUCUAAAAGUUCUGGAUAGGAAGUAGUCUGACUAACUUACAACUUUAAUUAAUUUAAGCACAAUUGUUGUUGUAUUGCUUACAAUGUAUUUCACAGUCUUGAUAGUCCAAUCAAUUUCUCUUCAAAUAAAAAUCCAUUAUGAUUGCAGGAAAAUUUUUACAUGGUGUACUACACACUAGCUUGUUCUGGCAUUUCCAAAUAAUGAAGAGGAAGAAAUAUAAGUGUGAGUUUACUAUAGUUUCAGAAACCUAAACCAAUUUUUAUUAGGCAUGAGACAUUUUGUCAUGUUUUUCUCCAAAGCAGAUGAUUUGUGCAUAGAUCUAUUGCUCUGUCUUAAUAUUUUGGACAGCUGUUUAUAGUCAGCACCUUGAAGUUUUGUUGCCUCUAUAAAGGCAGCAAAAUAUAAGACAGAAAGAUUGUUCGUGACCUCCUUACACUCCCUCACUGUCUUCAUUUCAGGUUCGCUGUUUAGUGUCUUUCUUUAACUUUCCUUUUAUUGUCCAGCUACUGACAACUUUGUUUCAAAGACCAUAAUUUCAUUACUUUACUUAAAACAUUACCAGAUGAAACAUUAUGUUUUGACAUGUCAUACAGUCUGAGUCAAGUGAAUAAACUUUCUAAAUCAAAUUCCAUCUGACCUUAAAAAUGUGAAAAUUUAAUUGUGUGAAUAGCUUUACUGUGAUUUCUACUAUGUAGAAAGUGUUCAUCCUACAUUCUCUACAAGCUUGUGAGUCUCUUUUUAAACGCAUAAAACAUGAAUUUAAAUCAAUAAGCUUCUUCAAUUACUCCACAAACAGCAAAGCUGUAACAAAAUGUUAAACAUCCACUCCCACAAAGAGUGAUAUAUUAAUUUAAAGCUUUUAUUUUGCAUUGUAAGAGUUCCAAAAUGCUAGUUUUUAUACUCAUCUUUUGGGGGCAGUAAUAUUUUGUCACAUGAUAAAUAAUGUAUGUAUGAAAGAGUUUAGAUUCAUCUAGUAUUAAGAAUGUUAAAGUCUAUUGUACUCAGGUUCUUAUACCUUUGCUAGGUUAUCUGAACAGCUUCAAGACUUUCAGUUAGUGAAGUAACUUAGCAUCUGUCAUUUGACAAUGACCUGAGUAGCACAUUCAAUCUUGUAUUAUUCUGACUUUUGUUGAAGGUAUUAAAUGCUGUCAUAACAAUAUAUUAUAUAUAUUUUUUGCUGAUUAUAUUUGAUAUCAUAAACAAGUGGAUGGCAUUUCUAUUCAAGACUCCUUUUGCAUACUAGGAAUACACUCAAUUUAUCAAGUUAAUCAAAAUCUAGUACAAGUCUUUUGAUGUGCACAACAACCAUUUUUUCUGCCUCUGAUACAUUUUUCUGUGUGAUUAAGCCUUACUACAACUGGUACUUCAGUAUUUUACUUGGUUAAUUAAAUACUUUCUCAGGCUGAGAAUACACAAAGCAUAAAUACAUACACUAUGUAAAUAUCUUAUGAAAAAUAAAAUACAAAUGAUCUUGGGAAA